GACCUCGAGCUAUAUCGUGUGGUCACGUUCAUAGAAACUUAUAUGCGGAGACAAAAAUUCACCGUUCGUUCGGUAAGCCCGCACCCAUGGGACGACCGGCAUAUUUGGAGGUGCGCUUUUCCGAUCAGGCUUGAUCCCGGGUCAGAUUUAGGUUCAGAAAAUAUUAAAUUUUAUAUAAAUUUUAUAUAAAAUUUGAUUAAAAAUAAAUAAAAUUUAGAUCCGAAGUCCAACCAUCGGCUAGCUCUAUUUUCUAACCUAUUUUCAUAUAAAUUUUUGAGAAAACUAUGAUUACCAUCGUGGCACCACUGAUUAGGAAAUUUUUGGAUUGCCUGAAAUAGGCCUGGCAAGCCGGACGGGCAGCUAGACCGGAAAUUUUAUUUAUUUAUUUAUUUAUUUAUUUUUUAUAAAUAUUAAU
rnacentral:lncRNA from 1 species